CUAUAACUCUGGCCAAUAAGAAGGCAUUGCGUUGCAUUAAAAAUUGCCCAAAAGAUGUGUACGACAUGACGUGCUCUUUUGAUAAACACUGUUACUUUGAGGCAGAAAACAAUUGCACGGUUAAAGUUGAGAUGUGCUUGCGUAAAGUCUAUAAUAAACCAAAGUUUAUUAAAACGAGGAUAGGAUAUUGCCUGAAACAGCACUAUCCAAGUCGAACGAAACGUUGUGUUCCAAUGAUUACAUCCAGUGCACUACCAGUCAAAAAUAGAUGGAUAAGUAACUACCAUGGAAAAUUGUUCGCAACCGAUUAUUGAAUCAAGAUAUUACGCCUUUAAAAUAAAUUACACCUUAACCAAUUGGUUUUU